rnacentral:rRNA from 1 species
CAGCCGCCGCGGUAAUACAUAGGGGGCGAGCGUUAUCCGGAAUUAUUGGGCGUAAAGGGUGAGUAGGCGGAUGUGAAAGUCUUUGGUGUAAGUGCAGUGCUUAACGCUGUGAUGCUAAAGAAACUUCAUGUCUAGAAUCAGAUAGAGGCAAGUGGAAUUCCAUGUGUAGCGGUAAAAUGCGUAAAUAUAUGGAGGAACACCAGUGGCGAAGGCGGCUUGCUGGGUCUGGAUUGACGCUGAGGCACGAAAGCGUGGGGAGCAAACAGGAUUAGAUACCCUGGUAGUCCACGCCGUAAACGAUGAGUACUAAGUGUUGGAGAAAUUCAGUGCUGUAGUUAACGCAAUAAGUACUCCGCCUGAGUAGUACGUACGCAAGUAUGAAACUCAAAGGAAUUGACGGGACCCCGCACAAGCGGUGGAUCAUGUUGUUUAAUUCGAAGAUACGCGAAGAACCUUACCAGGUCUUGACAUCCCUCGCAAAGCUAUAGAGAUAUAGUGGAGGUUAUCGGGGUGACAGGUGGUGCAUGGCC